rnacentral:rRNA from 1 species
UACGUAGGGUGCAAGCGUUGUCCGGAAUUAUUGGGCGUAAAGGGCUCGUAGGCGGUCCGUCACGUCGGGAGUGAAAACUUGGGGCUUAACCCCAAGCCUGCUUCCGAUACGGGCGGACUAGAGGUAGGCAGGGGAGAACGGAAUUCCUGGUGUAGCGGUGAAAUGCGCAGAUAUCAGGAGGAACACCGGUGGCGAAGGCGGUUCUCUGGGCCUUACCUGACGCUGAUGCACGAAAGCUAGGGGAGCAAACAGG